AUCUAAAAUCGGUAUGAAGAAAAUAACAAUCUCCUUCAAAAUGUUUUCUUUUCUUAAUCUGUAUUAAACAGCAAUGCAUAAUACCUAGACCAACAUGGCCGAGGUUCUAUCCACUACCAUCCCCGCUCCCCCUAAUUAUGUGGGGGAUUUCUCUUCCCCAUUCCCACCUUUCUGUUUCCAUCACAGAUGAAGUUUCUUUCUUGGGUAGGUGAGCCCUCCCGUUUACUUAGAUAUAUAGCAUGAGAUAAAAAAAAAAAGUGGAAGUGGA